rnacentral:tRNA from 1 species
AGGCAUUUGAUCUAGUGGUAUCAUUCUCGCUUUGGGUGCGAGAGGUCCCAAGUUCGAUUCUCGGAAAGCCCA